GUAAAUAUAGUUUAGUCAAAAUAUUAGAUUGUGGAUCUGAUAAUAGAAGUCUGUAACUUCUUAUUUACU
rfam:Homo sapiens chromosome 10, GRCh38 reference primary assembly.